rnacentral:rRNA from 1 species
GCUAACGUCCGUCGUGAAGAGGGAAACAACCCAGACCGCCAGCUAAGGUCCCAAAGUCAUGGUUAAGUGGGAAACGAUGUGGGAAGGCCCAGACAGCCAGGAUGUUGGCUUAGAAGCAGCCAUCAUUUAAAGAAAGCGUAAUAGCUCACUGGUCGAGUCGGCCUGCGCGGAAGAUGUAACGGGGCUAAACCAUGCACCGAAGCUGCGGCAGCGACGCUUAUGCGUUGUUGGGUAGGGGAGCGUUCUGUAAGCCUGUGAAGGUGUGCUGUGAGGCAUGCUGGAGGUAUCAGAAGUGCGAAUGCUGACAUAAGUAACGAUAAAGCGGGUGAAAAGCCCGCUCGCCGGAAGACCAAGGGUUCCUGUCCAACGUUAAUCGGGGCAGGGUGAGUCGACCCCUAAGGCGAGGCCGAAAGGCGUAGUCGAUGGGAAACAGGUUAAUAUUCCUGUACUUGGUGUUACUGCGAAGGGGGGACGGAGAAGGCUAUGUUGACCGGGCGACGGUUGUCCCGGUUUAAGCGUGUAGGCUGGUUUUCCAGGCAAAUCCGGAAAAUCAAGGCUGAGGCGUGAUGACGAGGCACUACGGUGCUGAAG